AACAACGUGGUUUCAACCGAAAGUAGAUCUAGAACUUUAGUGUUGAGUAGGCUGUUGGAAGUGUAUUGCAUCACCAUGUCUGAAGUUGCUCUACUCACAGCCCGUGCAGAACAAUCGGAAGCAGAAAUAAGGCAUCUAGAGGAGGAGAUCAAGCGCCUACAAGAUCCUCAGCGUAUGUUAGCUGAUGGAAUCAUAUCCCCAGAGCUGGAAAAACUGAGGACUGAGAACGCAAAGCUACAAUACCAAAUAAACCAUUUGAAACGGAGUGUUGCUACGGAAAAGAAGAGAAAGCCAGAGAACAUGCUGAGUAUUGGGAUCAUUGUGGAGGAGCUAUUUGGCCUGGCUGUCCGUCAUGCCUACCCUGACCUUGAUGACAUCCCUGUUAUGAUACAGGGCAGCUCAAAGUUUGCUGACUACCAGUGUAACAGUGCCUUGGUUAUAUGUGCGAAACUAAAAGCACAGGGUGUAAAGCUGCCCCCAAAGGAAAUUGCACAAAAAAUUGUAGCCAGUCUGCCUGAGUCGGAGUACUUUUCCAAGGUAGAGGCUGCCCCAAAUGGUUUCAUCAAUAUUGACCUCAGCAAGGACUAUGUGUCUGGUCAGAUCAGUAGCGUACUCCAGAAAGGACCAAGCCCUCCGAACGUUGGUAUAAAAAAACGUGUCGUCGUAGACUUCUCCUCUCCAAAUAUUGCCAAGGAGAUGCAUGUGGGACAUCUGAGGUCCACCAUUAUCGGUGAGAGUCUCUGUCGUCUACUGGAGUGGGUGGGGCAUGACGUAUUACGUCUGAAUCACCUCGGAGAUUGGGGCACACAGUUUGGUAUGCUGAUAGCCCACCUCAAGGAUAAGUUUCCUAACUACCUCUCUGUGUCUCCCCCAAUUAAAGAUUUACAAGCAUUCUACAAGGAGUCCAAGGUCCGUUUUGACGAAGAUGAAGCGUUUAAGAAGCGAGCUUAUGAGGCAGUGGUAAAGCUCCAGAACGGUGACGAGGCUCACCUGAAAGGGUGGAAUCUCAUCUGUGAUGUCUCCAGGCAGGAAUUUCAGAAAGUGUAUAAGCGCCUUGGUGUCUCUAUAACAGAGCGAGGCGAGUCAUUCUAUCAACCACUGAUGGGGGCCAUAGUGAAGGAGUUAGAAGAAAAGGAGCACCUGGUCCUAGAAGAAGGUCGGAAAAUAAUGUAUAUACCAGGGGCCCCGGCUCCUCUGACAGUCGUCAAGUCUGAUGGGGGAUUCACCUAUGCCACAUCUGACCUUACUGCCAUCAAACACCGGCUCCAUGUGGAGAAGGGAGACUGGCUGCUCUACGUUGUUGAUGCUGGACAGAAUCUCCACCUGCAGUCCAUCUUUGAUGCGGGAGUGAUAGCAGGCUGGUACGACCCGAAACAAGCACGAGUGGAACAUGUCAUGUUUGGUGUCGUCCUUGGAGAAGACAAGAAAAAGUUUAAAACUCGUUCAGGAGAGGUUAUUCGACUGGUGGAUUUGUUAGAUGAAGGUGUAAAGCGAGCGGAAAUGAAACUUGUGGAAAAAGGCAGAGACAAGGAAUUGACAAAGGAGGAGAUGAAGAAAGCAAUGGAAGCUGUAGCGUAUGGAUGUAUAAAGUACAACGAUUUAUCUCAUAACCGUAACCACGAGUAUGUCUUCUCUUUUGAUAGGAUGUUGGAUGACCGAGGAAACACUGCAGCGUACCUACUGUAUGCCUACACCCGGAUCAGGUCCAUUGCUCGUACGGCCCAAGUUUCUCCUCAGCAAUUAAAGGAGGCUGCAACAAAGACAAAAAUUGUGCUUGACCACCCGAAGGAAUGGAAGCUUGCUAAGUGCCUGCUGCGUUUCCCCGAGAUUAUCCUCAAGUGUCUGGACGAUCUUCUGAUACAUACUCUGUGUGACUUCCUGUACGAGGUGGCCACAACCUUCUCCGAGUUUUACGACAGCUGCUAUUGCAUAGAGAAAGACAAAUCAGGUAAAAUUGUCAAGGUGGACAUGAGUCGGAUCUUACUUUGCGAGGCUACCGCCAGUGUCAUAGGCGCGGGAUUCCACAUCCUCAGUAUCACUCCUGUUGACAAAAUGUGAUCCACCAACCACUUGUGGCAUACUUUAGCAUCAUCAUCAUAUCUGUCUGUGACUGGUGAAUGCUGUUUGGAAGUGAAGGCCAUCACAACUGUACUAAAAGACUGAAGGAUCAAGUGUGAAGAUUGAAGUUAAUCUUUUGUUUGACUAAACUUUAAAAGUCUAAGGUUCUUCAGUUAAAAAAGUCAUAGACAUAAGAAACUUUAUUUUUCUGAAUAUUCCUGGUAAUUUCUUUUCAGAUACUGACAGUGGUUUAGGAAAGUGAAAGAAAUUCUUGUAAUUUGAAUGUUAUGAUAUGUUAUAACAUUGCAGGAACCUUGAUGUUAGAAUUCUACUAUGAAUGUGUUGGAAUACUCUUCUUCCUAUUGUUACUGAUGACUAUUACUAGUAAAUAAAUUAUGAAGAU
rnacentral:misc_RNA from 1 species